GAAUGUGAGGGCAAUCUGGCUGCAACAUUGAUCCCAGGGUUGAUUCAGUUGAUCAAGUUGGCUAGACCGGUGUCCCUUUCCUGUCUCCCGAGGCUGUUUGAUCAGUAGUAGAUGACCUUCCUUCCCUGAUAGGAAGACUAGUCUUUGGUCAAGGGUAUCUAUAUCUGCACUGCCCUUCUAGAACCUCCACACAAGUCUCAAAUUUGUGCAUCAUCUCUCAUUGUGGGUCUUUAUUCACAAAACAUGAUUCUAACUCAGCAUUCCUUUAAGUCCCUCUGCGUGAGAGGAUGUGUUUGGCA
ensembl:misc_RNA 7SK 7SK RNA